AUAUAGGUUUUUUUCAGGGGCGUCGUCGUUCGAAACAUUUGUCGAGUUCUACUACGAAGACGUGGACUGAGACGAGGACAACGGCGACGGCGACGGCGACGGCGACGACGACGGCGGCGGCGACGGCAGCGGCAGCUCGAGUGUGACCUUCGACCCCCUUCGAGGCAGGCUCAUAUCCUUAUAGGUAACAGGUCGAAGAUCGUUGCACCUGGCUGUGUUAAGGACGACGACGACGAUGAAGAAGACGACGACGACGACGACGACGACGACGACGACGAUGACGACGACGAUGACGAUGACGGUGGCCGCGUGCGUGAACGCAUCCUGCUUGCCCAUUAGGAGGGUAUUUCACGGCGCGUCACGUUUUAUGCCGGCCACGUGACUCCGCGUGACACCCCGAGUUGAGCCGGUGCUAGGUCAAAGGUCACGAUUCGCAUCGAACCAUUCGGUCCUUCGCUCUCCUCAGUCGGAUUGAUUUUCUCUCUCUCUCUCUCUCUCUCUCUCUCUCUCUUCGGUCGUACAUGUACCUUUUCUUUCUUUCUUCCUUCGACGACGCUCGUAUUUUUAUUCCAUCGGACGACGUCGCGUAACGGAUUAGGAUAACGGUCGUGUAUAGGACGUUUUACGAUCACUCGCGAGGAAAAAAGAAAUCGAUUCUGUCGGUUCGUUUUACCAAAAAGGAUUUAAUAAAGUUCUGCGUUUGGGAAUUGUUGAAAAUUAACAAAGGUUCGAACGUAAAUGUAAGAGGAUUUUUUAAUUUGUCCAAAUCUUAGUGAUUCUAAAUUGAAUAAUGAGAGAGAGAGAGAGAGAGAGCGAAAGAAAGUGGAAGAUGAAAGAAGAAAGAAGAAAAAUAAGAAUGAGAAGAAGACGAAGAAGAAGAAGAAGAAGAAGAAGAAGAAGAAGGUAUCCGUGUCGCAGCAGGAGUGUAUUCCGGCCUUUUAACGACUCAUUUGCGUCGUGGCGGAACUUUACGAGCGCUUACAAUUAGUUAAAGGACGAAUGACGAUCCGGUAUAGCAUGUGCCUGGGACGUUCGCAAUGGCUGGUGUUUACUUAAUCGAGCGUAAAGCAAGAGAAAGAAGCCAUCGAUAAUAAUGCUCGUGGUCGUCGAGUCGGUCGCUUAUCUUUACGGCGUCACCGGCCAGGCAUCGGCGAGUUUUCUAGCCUCCGCCAUUCGUGUUCGCCUCGACCGACAAUUUUACAAUUCUGCUCAACGUGAGGGCGCGGGAGUGUGCUACAGGUGUUUAAACUUCUAAUAGACGAUCAAUUGGUGAUCUUUACCGAGAGAGAAGAAGACAUAACCGGAAGGAGUAGCGAAUAAAUGAGGAAGAUGAGAAAAAAGGAAAAAAAGUUGAGAGAGUCAAGAAAUCCAGUUCCUAAAGCGACUAGUACUAAAGUACUGUUCAACAGAAGCAAGAACUCAUAAUGAGAUAUAACUGUUUCGAAGUCGUGAAAUCUGUUAUUGUUUAUUAAGAAUUGCAUUUGUGUAAGAGAGAUGCAACGCUUACAACAUGGCACACGUAGGAGUUAGCAUCAGUACAUUAUAAAUUUAAUAGAUGUCCAAAGAAAAAGGAAAAAAAAGGGAAAUGUAUUUGUCAAAAUUCAGACAUAAGAUAUUACAGUAACGAGAUAAAACUAAAAGAAAGAAAUUGUUGAUCCUCAUGUUUCAUAGUGUCAUGUCCCAAGUAGAAAAAAAAAAAACAGUUUUCAACAU